UGGAGAGCUCCCGGGGCCAUGAGGCCGGAGCCCCAGCUGCCCCUUUAGUCAGGAGAAACAGAAUAAACAUCAGGAGGCUGUUUUCCAAAACCGGUUUUUAAAAGCCCAGGCACAAUGAGAGCACACUGUGCCUCUCAGUGCUUGUGUUGCAGAAACGGUUUUCACGGAAGGGCUCUGUUUCUCCCUUCUUUUCUUUCCGCUUCCUGGCGGCGGCGGCGUCCACACACCGACCUUUCACCUUCCCACUGCGGUCGCAGGCAGGACUUCCAAGAUCAAGUGCAUUGUCCUGGGGACGUGGCCCAGUGACCAAAUAGCUUCUGUGUUCUGCGCUUUUCCAGGCCAGGACGGCAUGCCAAAGGGGUGACAUCACAGGGGAGCGAGCAGCCGGCCCUCCCUCCGCUUCCUGCUUCUCUCCUCCUGACAGAGCCGGGAAUAACAAGCGGAACACACGUUCUUGUCUCCGGGGAGAGGGCUCCACCUGGCUUAUCUGGGAGCGCUUUGGCGCGCACUUGGAUCCACCUGAAAAGCUGGGCGCCCACCAUUCCGGGGCGAGGCGAGGCUCCAGCCAGGGCGGCGACGGGCCCUGUGAAUACUCUCGGCACACGUGGACCACGCGUUAGGGGAGGCUUCCCCAAAAGUGAUCCCAGCUGAGUGCUUCAAGACCUUUACACUGUGAACAGCACUCUGUGACCUCGGUUAGGCCCUCCGCUAGGAGACCUUUCCCCUCCUGUCUGUCCCUGCACCUCCACCCCCUGCCUGCAGGUAAAAGCGCUGAUUAGAGAAGGAAAAUUGAGCUAAGAAUUUGGACCCAUGAGCUUGAAACUAAAUUACCAGUGACUUGUACUUGUCAAGAAGGUAUAGGGUAGGAGCUAUUCAGGUACUCAGCUCCCUGGAAAUUGUCCUUACUUGAUUACAAACACGUUGCUAAAUUUAUCGAUCACUUGCUAUAUGACAAGCUCGGCUAUAAGGGUUUUACUUGCACUGACUCAAGGUUAGUCACACAACCCUGUGGGACUGUCACUUUACAAAUGAGGAAACUGAAGCACCGGGUGGUGUCUGACUUCAGGCUGGGCAGAGCCCAUCUCAGAACCGGGAUUUGUGGUGAGGAUUCUGAACAACUGUGAGUGUUUAUGUGCGCCAGGUAAAAUAUUAUAUUGUAAUAUUAUAAGUGAGCCUCGUGGUUAUUAAAAGGCAGACAUGAAUUUCAGAAAUACCGUGGACAUUUCAGUGUAGUCAUACUGAGCAUGAGAUUUGACAUUUGUGUUUAUUGGAGCCACACUGAUGCGAUGUGAGAAUGUGCAACACGAAAUCCACGCAUGCACAAAUUCAACAGACACUGCUGUCUAAAACUGCUGGGUGCUGGGUGCUGGGUGGCCCGGUCAGACCCGCGUCUCAAGCUAGUUCCAGAGUAGCCUCUGCCUGCAGGUCCCCUGGGCCUUUGGUCUACUUCGACCGCAUAAUGCUGUUUGCUGAAAAUCUCAAUCAGGCCAGUCUUGUCCCUCUUUACCUGGCUUUCUUCUGACUUCUGAAAGUAAUGGUUUUUCUGGAGAAAGGUAGUGAUCACUGAAUUCUGUUAUCCCAGCACUUGCGAAAAAGGGGAGGGGUGUUCUUUGGCCUCGGGGCCUAGAGGUCAGACAGUAGCUUCAGUACUGUGGGUCCCGCUUCGGUUGACCAAUGAGUCCUGGGAGCCCAGUGUCCUCCCCUUCUCCACCGCUGUGACGGCUGCCCCAGAGCCUCCCAGGGAAGCAUGCUGUGUCUAGUUUUGCUUCUAAAUGAGAGGCUGCAGAUCACACUAGAUCUUCUUGUAUUCAUUUAUUUUUCAGUUGAGAUAAAGUAUCCAUAACAUAAAAUUUCCUAUUGGCCAUA